CGGCAGGCCUAACACAUGCAAGUCGAGCGGAAACGAGUUAUCUGAACCUUCGGGGAACGAUAACGGCGUCGAGCGGCGGACGGGUGAGUAAUGCCUAGGAAAUUGCCCUGAUGUGGGGGAUAACCAUUGGAAACGAUGGCUAAUACCGCAUGAUGCCUACGGGCCAAAGAGGGGGACCUUCGGGCCUCUCGCGUCAGGAUAUGCCUAGGUGGGAUUAGCUAGUUGGUGAGGUAAGGGCUCACCAUGAGCGACGAUCCCUAGCUGGUCUGAGAGGAUGAUCAGCCACACUGGAACUGAGACACGGUCCAAACUCCUACGGGAGGCAGCAGUGGGGAAUAUUGCACAAUGGGCGCAAGCCUGAUGCAGCCUGCCGCGUGUGUGAAGAAGGCCUUCGGGUUGUAAAGCACUUUCAGUCGUGAGGAAGGUAGGUGUAGUUAAUAGCUGCAUUAUUUGACGUUAGCGACAGAAGAAGCACCGGCUAACUCCGUGCCAGCAGCCGCGGUAAUACGGAGGGUGCGAGCGUUAAUCGGAAUUACUGGGCGUAAAGCGCAUGCAGGUGGUUUGUUAAGUCAGAUGUGAAAGCCCGGGGCUCAACCUCGGAAUAGCAUUUGAAACUGGCAGACUAGAGUACUGUAGAGGGGGGUAGAAUUUCAGGUGUAGCGGUGAAAUGCGUAGAGAUCUGAAGGAAUACCGGUGGCGAAGGCGGCCCCCUGGACAGAUACUGACACUCAGAUGCGAAAGCGUGGGGAGCAAACAGGAUUAGAUACCCUGGUAGUCCACGCCGUAAACGAUGUCUACUUGGAGGUUGUGGCCUUGAGCCGUGGCUUUCGGAGCUUACGCGUUAAGUAGACCGCCUGGGGAGUACGGUCGCAAGAUUAAAACUCAAAUGAAUUGACGGGGGCCCGCACAAGCGGUGGAGCAUGUGGUUUAAUUCGAUGCAACGCGAAGAACCUUACCUACUCUUGACAUCCAGAGAACUUUCCAGAGAUGGAUUGGUGCCUUCGGGAACUCUGAGACAGGUGCUGCAUGGCUGUCGUCAGCUCGUAGUUGUGAAAUGUUGGGUUAAGUCCCGCAACGAGCGCAACCCUUAUCCUUGUUUGCCAGCGAGUAAUGUCGGGAACUCCAGGGAGACUGCCGGGUGAUAAACCGGAGGAAGGUGGGGACGACGUCAAGUCAUCAUGGCCCUUACGAGUAGGGCUACACACGUGCUACAAUGGCGCAUACAGAGGGCGGCCAACUUGCGAAAGUGAGCGAAUCCCAAAAAGUGCGUCGUAGUCCGGAUUGGAGUCUGCAACUCGACUCCAUGAAGUCGGAAUCGCUAGUAAUCGUGGAUCAGAAUGCCACGGUGAAUACGUUCCCGGGCCUUGUACACACCGCCCGUCACACCAUGGGAGUGGGCUGCAAAAGAAGUAGGUAGUUUAACCUUCGGGGGGACGCUUACCACUUUGUGGUUCAUGACUGGGGUGAAAGUCGUAACAAGGUAACC
rnacentral:rRNA from 1 species